rnacentral:rRNA from 1 species
GACGAACGCUGGCGGCGUGCUUAACACAUGCAAGUCGAGCGAGGCCCCUCCUUCGGGUGGGUGUCCUAGCGGCGAACGCGUGAGUAACACUUGUGCAACCUGCCCUCCGCUCUGGGAUAACUCAGGGAAACGGGGGCUACUACAGGACACCACCUCCACGGACAUGUGAGGCGGUGGAAAGUUUUUCGGCUGGGGAUGGGCGCGCGGGCUAUCGGCUAGUUGGUGGGGUAGUGGCCAAGCAAGGCGACGCCGGGUAGCCGGCCGGGGAGGGGGGACGGCCCCAAGGGGACUGCGAGAGGGCGCAGUGUCCAACGUGAGGCAGCAGGGGCGAAUAUUGCGCAAUGGGCGCAAGCCUGACGCAGCGACGCCGCGGGAGGGAAGAAGGCCUUCGGGUUGUAAAACUGUACCAGCAGGGACGAAGCGAGAGUGACGGUACCUGCAGAAGAAGCACCGGCCAACUACGUG